AACGCUAGCUACAGGCUUAACACAUGCAAGUCGAGGGGCAUCAGGGUAGCAAUACCGCUGGCGACCGGCGCACGGGUGAGUAACACGUAUCCAACCUACCGUUAACUCGGGGAUAGCCUUUCGAAAGAAAGAUUAAUACCCGAUAGUAUAUUUUCUUCGCAUGUUGAAAAUAUUAAAGAAUUUCGGUUAUCGAUGGGGAUGCGUUCCAUUAGGCAGUUGGCGGGGUAACGGCCCACCAAACCUACGAUGGAUAGGGGUUCUGAGAGGAAGGUCCCCCACAUUGGAACUGAGACACGGUCCAAACUCCUACGGGAGGCAGCAGUGAGGAAUAUUGGUCAGUGGACGAAGGUCUGAACCAGCCAAGUAGCGUGAAGGAUGACUGCCCUAUGGGUUGUAAACUUCUUUUAUAUGGGAAUAAAGUUCUCCACGUGUGGAGUUUUGUAUGUACCAUUAUGAAUAAGCAUCGGCUAACUCCGUGCCAGCAGCCGCGGUAAUACGGAGGAUGCGAGCGUUAUCCGGAUUUAUUGGGUUUAAAGGGAGCGUAGGUGGACUGGUAAGUCAGUUGUGAAAGUUUGCGGCUCAACCGUAAAAUUGCAGUUGAUACUGUCAGUCUUGAGUACAGUAGAGGUGGGCGGAAUUCGUGGUGUAGCGGUGAAAUGCUUAGAUAUCACGAAGAACUCCGAUUG
rnacentral:rRNA from 1 species